AUUGAACGCUGGCGGCGUGCCUAACACAUGCAAGUCGAGCGGUAACAGGUGUAGCAAUACAUGCUGACGAGCGGCGAACGGGUGAGUAAUGCUUCGGAAUCUACCCAAUGGUGGGGAAUAACCAGCCGAAAGGUUGGCUAAUACCGCAUACGUCCCACGGGAGAAAGCAGGGGAUCGCAAGACCUUGCGCCAAUGGAUGAGCCGAAGUCGGAUUAGCUAGUUGGAGGGUAACGGCCUACCAAGGCGACGAUCCGUAGCUGGUCUGAGAGGACGACCAGCCACACUGGGACUGAGACACGGCCCAGACUCCUACGGGAGGCAGCAGUGGGGAAUAUUGGACAAUGGGGGAAACCCUGAUCCAGCGACGCCGCGUGUGUGAAGAAGGCCUGCGGG
rnacentral:rRNA from 1 species